AGAGUUUGAUCCUGGCUCAGGACGAACGCUGGCGGCGCGCUUAACACAUGCAAGUCGAGCGAGAACCGAGCCUUCGGGCUCGGGGAAAGCGGCGAACGGGUGAGUAACACGUGGGCAACCCACCCUUGGUACCGGGAUAGCCCGGGGAAACUCGGAUUAAUACCGGAUGGCCCAGCAGCUCUUCGGGGCGGCUGGAAAAGGUAGCUUCGGCCUCCGACCAAGGACGGGCCCGCGGCGGAUUAGCUUGUUGGCGGGGUAACGGCCCACCAAGGCGACGAUCCGUAGCUGGUCUGAGAGGACGAUCAGCCACACUGGGACUGAGACACGGCCCAGACUCCUACGGGAGGCAGCAGUGGGGAAUCUUGCGCAAUGGGCGAAAGCCUGACGCAGCGACGCCGCGUGGGGGAAGAAGGCUUUCGGGUUGUAAACCCCUUUCAGGAGGGACGAAGCUACUCGGGUGAAUAGCCCAGAGGGUGACGGUACCUCCAGAAGAAGCCCCGGCUAACUACGUGCCAGCAGCCGCGGUAAUACGUAGGGGGCAAGCGUUGUCCGGAUUUAUUGGGCGUAAAGAGCGUGUAGGCGGCCAUGUAGGUCCGUUGUGAAAACUCGAGGCUCAACCUCGAGACGCCGAUGGAAACCAUGUGGCUAGAGUCCGGAAGAGGAGAGUGGAAUUCCCGGUGUAGCGGUGAAAUGCGCAGAUAUCGGGAAGAACACCCGCGGCUAAGGCGGCUCUCUAGUACGGUACUGACGCUGAGACGCGAAAGCGUGGGGAGCGAACAGGAUUAGAUACCCCCGUAGUCC
rnacentral:rRNA from 1 species